CCAGUCGGUGACCCAAAUGAAAGGCAUGGUGAUUAGCUGCAGAGGAGAAUGAUUAGAGAUAUGUCUCCCAAUGAUAUCUCCGUGAAGAGGGCCUUUGCACUUCUCCAGUCAAUGGAGUCCAAGUUGAUCCAAGCCGCUAAAGAAGCACAACUGGAAACCAAUGAAGUGGAAGCUGAGGCAGCUAUUCAAAAACUUGCAGAUGUUCAAUUGCCCCUGAACGGACCCGAACAGCUCAAAACCUGCCUGACGCU